CAGUAGCCACGGUAAUACAGAGGGUGCGAGCGUUAAUCGGAUUUACUGGGCGUAAAGCGUGCGUAGGCGGCUUUUUAAGUCGGAUGUGAAAUCCCUGAGCUUAACUUAGGAAUUGCAUUCGAUACUGGGAAGCUAGAGUAUGGGAGAGGAUGGUAGAAUUCCAGGUGUAGCGGUGAAAUGCGUAGAGAUCUGGAGGAAUACCGAUGGCGAAGGCAGCCAUCUGGCCUAAUACUGACGCUGAGGUACGAAAGCAUGGGGAGCAAACAGGAUUAGAUACCCGAGUAGUCCCUGUCUCUUAUAU
rnacentral:rRNA from 1 species